rfam:Schistosoma haematobium scaffold1495_1, whole genome shotgun sequence.
ACCCAGCUAACGAGUCUGAAAUAGGACGAAACGCGCAUCUUGGAU